rnacentral:rRNA from 1 species
AUCGUAACUCCUACGGGAGGCAGCAGUAGGGAAUCUUCGGCAAUGGGGGCAACCCUGACCGAGCAACGCCGCGUGAGUGAAGAAGGUUUUCGGAUCGUAAAGCUCUGUUGUAAGAGAAGAACGAGUGUGAGAGUGGAAAGUUCACACUGUGACGGUAACUUACCAGAAAGGGACGGCUAACUACGUGCCAGCAGCCGCGGUAAUACGUAGGUCCCGAGCGUUAUCCGGAUUUAUUGGGCGUAAAGCGAGCGCAGGCGGUUAGAUAAGUCUGAAGUUAAAGGCUGUGGCUUAACCAUAGUACGCUUUGGAAACUGUUUAACUUGAGUGCAGAAGAGGAGAGUGGAAUUCCAUGUGUAGCGGUGAAAUGCGUAGAUAUAUGGAGGAACACCGGUGGCGAAAGCGGCUCUCUGGUCUGUAACUGACGCUGAGGCUCGAAAGCGUGGGGAGCAAACAGGAUUAGAAACCCCUGUAGUCCUAGAGC